GAUGAACGCUAGCGGCAGGCCUAACACAUGCAAGUCGAGGGGUAACAUUUGUGCUUGCACAAGAUGACGACCGGCGCACGGGUGCGGAACGCGUAUGGAACCUGCCCUUGUCAGGGGAAUAGCCCAGAGAAAUUUGGAUUAAUGCCCCAUGGUACCGGGACGACACAUGUCGACCUGGUUAAAGAUUUAUCGGACAAGGAUGGCCAUGCGUACCAUUAGUCAGAUGGUGGGGUAACGGCUCACCAUAACUACGAUGGUUAGGGGCCCUGAGAGGGGGAUCCCCCACACUGGUACUGAGACACGGACCAGACUCCUACGGGAGGCAGCAGUGAGGAAUAUUGGACAAUGGGCGGGAGCCUGAUCCAGCCAUGCCGCGUGCAGGAUGACUGCCCUAUGGGUUGUAAACUGCUUUUAUACGGGAAGAAACCCAUCUACGUGUAGAUGGCUGACGGUACCGUAAGAAUAAGGACCGGCUAACUCCG
rnacentral:rRNA from 1 species